CCCCUGGAGGACUAGUGGUUAGGCCACAGCACUCUCACUGCUGUGGCAGGGGUUCGAUUCCUGGCCAGGGAA
rnacentral:tRNA from 1 species